AGAGUUUGAUCCUGGCUCAGGACGAACGCUGGCGGCGUGCUUAACACAUGCAAGUCGAACGGUAAGGCCCUUUCGGGGGUACACGAGUGGCGAACGGGUGAGUAACACGUGGGUGACCUGCCUCAAGCUCUGGGAUAAGCCUGGGAAACUGGGUCUAAUACCGGAUAUGACUUCAUGCUGCAUGGUGUGGGGUGGAAAGUUUUUCGGCUUGGGAUGGGCCCGCGGCCUAUCAGCUUGUUGGUGGGGUGAUGGCCUACCAAGGCUUCGACGGGUAGCCGGCCUGAGAGGGCGUCCGGCCACACUGGGACUGAGACACGGCCCAGACUCCUACGGGAGGCAGCAGUGGGGAAUAUUGCGCAAUGGGCGGAAGCCUGACGCAGCGACGCCGCGUGGGGGAUGACGGCCUUCGGGUUGUAAACCUCUUUCGACCUCGACGAAGAGAAAUUGACGGUAGGGGUGGAAGAAGCACCGGCCAACUACGUGCCAGCAGCCGCGGUA
rnacentral:rRNA from 1 species